rfam:Ovis aries breed Texel chromosome 2, whole genome shotgun sequence.
UCCCUGAUAGCUCAGUUGGUAAAAAAUCUGCCUGCAAUGCAGGAGACCCCAGUUUGAUUUCUGGGUCAGGAAG